rnacentral:misc_RNA from 1 species
AAGGCUUGACAUAUACCGAAAACUCAUGGAGACAUGGGGUCCGCAAGGGCGGUAUACAGGUGGUGCAUGGUUGUCGUCAGCUCGUGUCGUGAGAUGUUGGGUUAAGUCCCGCAACGAGCGCAACCCUCGUCCUAUGUUGCCAGCACGUCAUGGUGGGGACUCAUAGGAGACUGCCGGGGUCAACUCGGAGGAAGGUGGGGAUGACGUUACGGUCUUACU